rnacentral:lncRNA from 1 species
UCCCCACGCUCCCCUCCAUCUCCCCCCUCAAAAAAAACAAAAAACUGGGCUCACGUUGACAGGCAUACAGAGAGUGUAUGUAAAGUAAUCACGAAGCUCUGCAAAACAAAAGUUUGAAGAAAAAGGAAAACUGAGGUUUCACUGUCAUGUGUAAGCAUUCACAUCCGUGGCUUAGAAACAUUUGCCUUGGGCUUGUUAGAAACUUGAAACCAUCACUUGCAGGCAGACAGCUUUACAAAGGUGUGUUCUUUUCAGAGGCAACAUAAUUACUUCUCAGCAGACAGUGCUUACCUGAUCCCCUAUUGAAAAUGAGGCUCAUAAAGGAUGCAAGGAAAGCGGCCCCUGAGAGCAAAGAGGCAGCUGAGUUGAUGUGAAGGCAGGCAGUUAUUGAUCUGCCAAAAGAAGGGCCUUUGUCACAAGGAUGUCAGACAGCCACUUCUGUUCUGUAUUCCCCAUUGUGUCCUCAGGUCUUGCCCGCAGCCAGAGUGGGAGCAGGAAGAGACUGAGAUCCUGGUGGUCUUGGGAGAGGAAGAUGCCAGGAGAGGGAUUGGUGGAAGAGCACUUUACCCCCUUGUGAUCCUCAGAGACGGAUUCCUCCAAAUGAUAAACAUCAGUUCCUGAUCUGCCUCUCCCUUGGGGAUAAGUGAAAACUGCAGGAGAAGGAAGGCCCUAAAGGUGGAUAGAGUCCUUCCUGCUGGCCCCUGCCUAGUUUCUGCUCUCAACGGUUCAGGAGGCCUUAAGGAGAGGUAGGAUAUCUAGUCAUGGCUUUCUCCUAUCCACCAUCCCACAACCUCUCUCCAGGUAUGUGAACUAUGGUAGGAGAAGUGAUGCGU